GAGUGGGUGCACAAGGAAGCUACAAGAGACAUCAACACGACACCCAAAGGAAUAACUUCCAGCUCGCCGCCUUUAAGCGCCAAGGAAGAGGGAAAAAUAAAUGCCAGGAGCGAAAUUCGGGCAGAGGAGAAAACUCCGAUAAAUGUAGGAAUAGGUGAGAUUGGUAAAGAAUGAUUGGAAUAGGAGAGAUUGGUUAAGAAUGAUAAGAUGUGAAUAAGUCCGAUAAAUGUAGAAAUAGGAGAGAUUGGUAAAGAAUGAUAGGAUAUGAGAAAAGUCCGAUAAAAGUAGGAAUAGGAGAGAUUGAUAAA